rnacentral:rRNA from 1 species
UUUAUGGAGAGUUUGAUCCUGGCUCAGGAUGAACGCUGGCGGCGUGCCUAAUACAUGCAAGUCGAGCGAACGGACGAGAAGCUUGCUUCUCUGAUGUUAGCGGCGGACGGGUGAGUAACACGUGGAUAACCUACCUAUAAGACUGGGAUAACUUCGGGAAACCGGAGCUAAUACCGGAUAAUAUUUUGAACCGCAUGGUUCAAAAGUAAAAGACGGUCUUGCUGUCACUUAUAGAUGGAUCCGCGCUGCAUUAGCUAGUUGGUAAGGUAACGGCUUACCAAGGCAACGAUGCAUAGCCGACCUGAGAGGGUGAUCGGCCACACUGGAACUGAGACACGGUCCAGACUCCUACGGGAGGCAGCAGUAGGGAAUCUUCCGCAAUGGGCGAAAGCCUGACGGAGCAACGCCGCGUGAGUGAUGAAGGUCUUCGGAUCGUAAAACUCUGUUAUUAGGGAAGAACAUAUGUGUAAGUAACUGUGCACAUCUUGACGGUACCUAAUCAGAAAGCCACGGCUAACUACGUGCCAGCAGCCGCGGUAAUACGUAGGUGGCAAGCGUUAUCCGGAAUUAUUGGGCGUAAAGCGCGCGUAGGCGGUUUUUUAAGUCUGAUGUGAAAGCCCACGGCUCAACCGUGGAGGGUCAUUGGAAACUGGAAAACUUGAGUGCAGAAGAGGAAAGUGGAAUUCCAUGUGUAGCGGUGAAAUGCGCAGAGAUAUGGAGGAACACCAGUGGCGAAGGCGACUUUCUGGUCUGUAACUGACGCUGAUGUGCGAAAGCGUGGGGAUCAAACAGGAUUAGAUACCCUGGUAGUCCACGCCGUAAACGAUGAGUGCUAAGUGUUAGGGGGUUUCCGCCCCUUAGUGCUGCAGCUAACGCAUUAAGCACUCCGCCUGGGGAGUACGACCGCAAGGUUGAAACUCAAAGGAAUUGACGGGGACCCGCACAAGCGGUGGAGCAUGUGGUUUAAUUCGAAGCAACGCGAAGAACCUUACCAAAUCUUGACAUCCUUUGACAACUCUAGAGAUAGAGCCUUCCCCUUCGGGGGACAAAGUGACAGGUGGUGCAUGGUUGUCGUCAGCUCGUGUCGUGAGAUGUUGGGUUAAGUCCCGCAACGAGCGCAACCCUUAAGCUUAGUUGCCAUCAUUAAGUUGGGCACUCUAAGUUGACUGCCGGUGACAAACCGGAGGAAGGUGGGGAUGACGUCAAAUCAUCAUGCCCCUUAUGAUUUGGGCUACACACGUGCUACAAUGGACAAUACAAAGGGCAGCGAAACCGCGAGGUUAAGCAAAUCCCAUAAAGUUGUUCUCAGUUCGGAUUGUAGUCUGCAACUCGACUACAUGAAGCUGGAAUCGCUAGUAAUCGUAGAUCAGCAUGCUACGGUGAAUACGUUCCCGGGUCUUGUACACACCGCCCGUCACACCACGAGAGUUUGUAACACCCGAAGCCGGUGGAGUAACCUUUUAGGAGCUAGCCGUCGAAGGUGGGACAAAUGAUUGGGGUGAAGUCGUAACAAGGUAGCCGUAUCGGAAGGUGCGGCUGGAUCACCUCCUUUCU